GAUGCGUGGAUGCUCUUUCUCUUUUUAUGUUAGAUAUGGGUGUCUCAUUGAAUUGUAUUCUUUCUUUGCAGGUUGUGAACGGGAAACUAUCACAAACAUGCUACCUAAUGGCUCUUGAUUCUUGUUACAAGCGUUAUUGUAACAAAGUAUGAAAAGUUUGAAGGUAAACCAUUUUCAAUUUCUGAUGCUGACUCUUUCGUAUUCCAUUCUCUAUACAACAAGCUUGUGCAAAAAAGUUUUUCACGGCUAUAUUUCAAUGACUUCCUGCGUCAGUCUAGGUACACUAUAUUUCAGUUCUGCACAUAUUAGCCUUCUCAUUCUGCUAUAUGUUUUUUGGUAGGGUAAUAUACAUAUUCACUCUUUAGUCUUUCUUUUUAUGCAUAUCUGCUAGUAACGAUCUUUUUUUUUUUUCUACUUUCUUAAGUCUCAGUGAGAAACCAAUCGUUCAGUGAUCUCAUGCAUUGUUUAGGCUCCUUUUAAAGUGAAUUUAUACUUUUUUUAUUUUAAUAAUCUCUUUUUGCGCCAGAACUGUUUUUUUUUUCUGUUAUGCUCUUGAUCAUGUCUAGAAGACCUUUGAUCUUGCUUCAUC